rnacentral:lncRNA from 1 species
CCCCUUUUAUACCCCAAACCUAGAAGUUUCCUCAAAAAUCCAAAAAUAUUCCUCUCUAGAACGAAUUCGGACAGAUGGAGAGAAGGAAUCGAUCCAAAAAUCAAUCUACGGUCCCCAUUUUUAGGAAUUCAUUCUCAAAAAAGCACAUGGGAUGGGAAACAUCCGACAGAGACCAUUAGAAUCUUGCAGACGAGGAGCGAGGGAGAAUGUGUGAGGGAUUUUGAGCUCACUCAUUAGGGAUUUGGGCGUUUGAGAGUGGAUUUG